CAUUUUUCUUCCUCAGAUCCCAAAACUUCAGGCGACAAGAAUUGCAUCUGUGUAGCUAAUGGAUUCUUGAAGAACAUAUUCAUCACUCGUCGAUACUAAAACCAUUCUUACUCUCAUUAUUCGUUUGAAACUUACAGAAGAAGAAGAUGAUGAUGAUGAUGAAACCCUCAUCUUCUUUGUAUAUCCAUUUAUUUUUUUCAUGAUUCUCCGUGGAUCUCUUCCAAUUUUAGCUUCACUCAAUUGUGCAAAAUGGGCAAUUGAAUCCGCAGGUCUUUGUUCUGAUAAAGUAUCAUCCGAGGAAUCUCCAUGACUCUCUUCUGCACUGCUCCCGUUAAAUAUAAUUGAAUUAGAAGAUGGCGAAGAAACUGAGACUUGUCAUGAUUUUCUCGUUGUUCAGAAAUUUGUAAAAUUUAUACCAAUUCUUGUUUCAUUUUUCCUGGUUGACAACUUUAUAAGACUUAUGGUGCUGUGCCCGUCAUGUAUUGCUAGAUUAGAUCUAUUACAUACUUCUAGGCUGAUUAGUAACG